AUUGAACGCCGGCGGCAGGCCUAACACAUGCAAGUCGAGCGGAUGAAGGGAGCUUGCUCCUGGAUUCAGCGGCGGACGGGUGAGUAAUGCCUAGGAAUCUGUCUGGUAGUGGGGGAUAACGUCCGGAAACGGGCGCUAAUACCGCAUACGUCCUGAGGGAGAAAGUGGGGGAUCUUCGGACCUCACGCUAUCAGAUGAGCCUAGGUCGGAUUAGCUAGUUGGUGGGGUAAAGGCCUACCAAGGCGACGAUCCGUAACUGGUCUGAGAGGAUGAUCAGUCACACUGGAACUGAGACACGGUCCAGACUCCUACGGGAGGCAGCAGUGGGGAAUAUUGGACAAUGGGCGAAAGCCUGAUCCAGCCAUGCCGCGUGUGUGAAGAAGGUCUUCGGAUUGUAAAGCACUUUAAGUUGGGAGGAAGGGCAGUAAGUUAAUACCUUGCUGUUUUGACGUUACCAACAGAAUAAGCACCGGCUAACUUCGUG
rnacentral:rRNA from 1 species